rnacentral:rRNA from 1 species
UACGUAGGGGGCAAGCGUUGUCCGGAAUCAUUGGGCGUAAAGAGCGUGUAGGCGGCCCGAUAAGUCCGCUGUGAAAGUCCAGGGCUCAACCCUGGGAUGCCGGUGGAUACUGUCGGGCUCGAGUCCGGAAGAGGCGAGUGGAAUUCCUGGUGUAGCGGUGAAAUGCGCAGAUAUCAGGAGGAACACCCGUGGCGAAAGCGGCUCUCUGGGACGGUACUGACGCUGAGACGCGAAAGCGUGGGGAGCGAACAGG